UCUAGUUAUCAUGCCCAACGUUUGACCGUCCGUCUUAUUUGAAAAAAAUAUGAAAAAAAUUAAAAAGACAAGUCACGCAUAAAAUAUUAAUCAUAUUUUAUCAUCUAACAACAACGAAAAUACGAAUUAUAAAAAAAUUUCAUAUGAGACGGACAGUCAAAGUUGGACACGGAAACCCAAGGUUUGUCUUUUU
rnacentral:pre_miRNA from 1 species